rnacentral:tRNA from 1 species
GGCGCUGUAUCCCAAACGGCAGAGGAAGUCGGCUUAAACCCGAUUCAGUGUGGGUUCGAAUCCCACUAGCGCCA